rnacentral:lncRNA from 1 species
GUUUUUUAUUCAGAAAAAAAGAAUAAUAAUUCUGUUGUUACUUUAAUUUUGUUAUACUUUUAUUUAUAGUCCAGACUUUGUAUCCUGUCACAAGAAUGUCAAAUAUAGAGUUAUGGCUAAUUUUCAACAUAUUCAAACCAAUAAAUUCUAAUAUAUUGAUAUUAGCUGCUCAUUGAACAAGAGUGGUAUUGGACAGGCCAAGAACAGAUAACUGUUGUCCUAGGUGGAAUAUGGUCAUUGCACUGAGAAAACAUGCUAUGGUAAAAUAGGACUAACAAGUCAUGUGAAAUAUUAGAGAUGUUGGAAUAUGACACAUGUUAUAGAUAUAGCUUUAGAAAAUAUUGUUAUAGGAUUUAUUCAGUAUAUGGGUUUUUUUUUCUUAAAUAGUUAAAUCCAUUUGGAGGAAGAGUUUAGGUUUAUACUCAGGAUUUAGGACUUACAUAGAUGGAGUGGACAGAAAAACAAAAGUUAAAAACUGGAAACAUAAUGAUAAAAACAACAAAACUGCAAGUAAAAAUUAGAUUUUGAGAGUAUAUUUCCCAGCCACAUUUUCAGAAAAUCCAAAUGGAAGCGUAGCCAUAGAUAUCAUGUAUCAGAGUUCACAUAUAUUAAACUACAGAAGAAAAGAAAAAUGGUGGAAAGGAAAGAUCACCCCACUUCAUGGUUUUAGAAAUGAGUUCACACGGCAAGAAAAUGAGAGCAGAAAAGUAUGGUCUUCAGAGAUCAGGAGUCUACCCUUUGGUGCUAUGGCAUUAAAGAGCUAAUGGUGUGGAACAGAACUGACGGUAUUAAAUGGGCUCACCUGUCAUGCCAAAAAAAAAAAAUGCAUUUUGCUUUUAUAGGAGCUUCAAUGUAAGGUCAAUAGUCAGAAAAGAUUUAAUAGAGAAUCUUUGUUAGAACUUAUUUCUUCUAUUUUACUAUGCAGAAUUUGAACUAAUAUUUUCACAAUAAAUUAAUUCCUAAUUUGUAGAGUUUCAGAAACUAAGAGUUAUCAUCAAUAUGACACAUAUGCAGGGUAUAAAGGAAAUCAAAUGUAAAUUUUACAAUAUUUUAAAGAAGUUAGCAUUUUUCUUACUAGAGAAAUGCAAAGGACGGUUCCUUUUGGGGGGGAGGGGCGUGGAUAGAAACCAAAACAAUAGAUUUAGUCUUGAAGGUAGUGAUGAAAAAUUGUAUAAUGGUUAAUUUGGAAUUUACCACCAAUCUUUUUAAUUAGCACUUGUACCAGUACCAGGGUGUAUCUACUGUAAGCUGUAAUUGGUGGAAGGUAGCCUCAUUUGUGAUCUUUUUAAUUAGCACUUGUACCAGUACCAGGGUGUAUCUACUGUAAGCUGUAAUUGGUGGAAGGUAGCCUCAUUUGUGAUCACAACUUUAGUGAUAUGUGUCAAUGAGAUGAUAAUGCUGUUGCAUUAGUGCUGAAUGCAUUUCUUAAGGGAAUCAGAAUAGAUAGAUCAAUAGAUAGAUAGAUAGAUAAUCGAUCAAUAGAUAAAUGAUAGAUUCUAUGUACAUAGAUUUUUUUCCAAAAAGUUAUUAAAUGUAGAUGAUAUAAAAUAAGAAAGAAUAACACACUUGGGAAGAAAAGGAGAAUGUGAUUCUUUAUUGAAAUCCAUAGCGUUCUGGUAAAAAGCCCCCUAAGGAUGAGACUGACCUACUGAGUAAUGAAGAACAAAAAGGAAAGAAUGCCCUAGGUGUGCGAAGAACUUUGGUCCCUUUUGUAUUGUAAUGAAAGUGCUUCUACUAUAUCUGUAAUGCAUGUGAGUUUUUGCUUGGUUGUCAAAGCACAGCACAGUAACAUGCAAUGAAAAUGUGACCCCACGUAAUACUACUCCUUCUUGUCCUCUCCCCCCCCCCUUACAAACUACCAUAUUCUAUUCUUAGUAACUCUGUGGUAAGAUAUUUUUGCUAAUAAUUCCUUAGAUUUCAAAAGUAUAUCUACAAAAAUAUUCAAACAGUAGUGCUAUGCAAACUAAUUUUUUAAGUUAGUAGUGUACCAUGGACAAUUGAAUCUUCAAGGUUUAAUGUUUAUAAUUAAUGUACCUAACAUCUAUGAUCACAUGACACAGAAUUAUAAAAAAUAUGGUUUAUCAUUAUUAUUCAAAACUUUGCAUAUAUAUAUACAUAUCUUAUUUAUAAUGUUUCACUAUCGCAAGUACAAAACUGCAAAGUCCAACUGUCAACUAUAAGUUUUAUAUUAUUAAAUUGAACUAAACUAUAGAAAUGUUUACAUUAAUUUGUUCUUAAUGUAUUUCUAUAAUUGUUUACCCAAUGUCCACAGAGGUCUAAAGAGGUUUCAUGUAUCCUGAACUGAGUGAUAGAUGGUUGUGAGUUCUUAUAGAUGGAUAUAAGAAUAAGAAAUUCAAUUUAGGUCUUCUUUAACAGUGGCCAUUGUUCUCAAAGCCUUAAUUAAUCUAAAUUCUGAAGGAACAAGCUUACAAUAAAAGCACCAUGCAUAUUUUAAACAUCGUAAAUAUUGCAUGUGGUCUUUCUGACAGCUUUGGUAAUCUGAUCAUGAGAGAACCUGUUUUGCCACACUCUGGCAAAAAAGCAGUAACAGCCAGUUAACAGUGCCUAUAUAAAAUAUUUCUAAAAUAGCUCAGAUUAAGUUUGUAUUUGGUUGCUAUUGAGACUGAAUUUACUUUAAUUAAUUUUAUAUGUCUAUAUUAUUCAGAUAUGAAAUGUUGUUAUUCCCUAAGGAUAGCUGUUUGUGAUGCAAAGUAAAAGUAAUGACUUUAUUAAUCAAUAAACAACACUUUAAAUUCUGAAAUGUAAUUUAAUUUUGCAUUCCCUUUUUGGACGAGACAAGGUUGUGGUUGCUUUCCAAAGAAGAAAAGGGACUAGCUCUGUAUCAUUAAUAAAUUAUUCAGUAUAUUUCUAUCAAUUUAAUAUUUCUCAUGAAAACCAUCAACACAUAUCAUUUAUUAAUGCAAGUUUUAGGAAGCAGAUCUUUUGUCUGAUACAAAAAUGCUUUUUAUAUCUGCAUGUGUUCACAUAAUCCAUGAACAUGCUAUUCUUAAUUACGUUUAAUUAGUUUAUCAAGUACUCUGAGAUAGCAGCUCAUCACUCAUCAGUGAUGAUAAAAGCAUAUUAUUCCUUGUUAGUUUUGUUCUUUUGUUACAUUUUUCUUUUCUUAGGUUAAGCAACUGAACCUUCCUGAGCAGUGAGGAGGAGAUAUAGUGAGAUUUGAAAGCUCCAGUUCAUCCCGAGCUCUGAGCCUCAACGGUCUUCAUGACUUAAGUUAAUAACAGUCUGAACUCUAUGGGGUCAUGUAAAUUUUAAUUUGCUUUUUAAAAAAGUUGCUAGUACCCUUUCAUAUAAUUGUAUACUCUACUGGUCAAAGAUUUAAUGAAUCUGAAAACUACAAUGCAGAAAAUCUAUUAUUCAAUAUUUAGGAAUAAUGAAAUCACUAAGCUGAAGUGAAUGUAUGUCUUCAGGUAUCUAUUUCCUAUAAAAUAAGGUAUUUGUCUUAAAAUAUAGAUUUUUUAAAAAAUUUAAAAGUGGAUUUUUCAAUUUUUUAAUGUGAUUCUUCUGUUAAGUUAGAUAUUUAUGUGUAGAAAAGUGUCAUGUUUGCCAUGUUCUCUGG